UUCUCCCUGAGCAAUUGAAGGUGUUCAGACCUCCAUCCCACCAGGCCAGCACCCCCUCUACCUUUCCCCUUCCCUUCAUCUCUGAAAAUGCCAAUUCACAGACUCUCCCAUCCAACAGGACACCUCUUUCAGCUCCUUAAACUGAGCACCACAUUCAACUUGGGAUCAAGUGCUGAGAUUGGAAGAACAGUCACCUCACGGCCUGGCUGAAAUGUUUAUUUCAGCAACAAGUUCAGCUUGCAGCUCUGGGCCAAAGGGUUCCAAUCUCCCUCCUAGAGGAAAUCCCCUCCUAACAGCCCACCGUUUCUGAAACCGUUCUCAUGGCAGACUAUCCUCCCUCAAUGCCUGGAGAUCAUGGAAGUUCUCAGAAACUCAACCUGGUCUUUAAGAACCAGAGAGCAGAAAGGGGGAAGGGCAGUGGGGUAGAGAAAACUCAAAACUUUCUGGUUUAGCUGCUGGUCUGAUCUUGUUUCAUGCCAGUGAUGUCAUCUGUAAAUCAGGAAAAGAGGUUUCCAGUGCCUCUCUUUUAAAACGGACACAACAUGAGGGCUGCAGGAAUAACAGCCACCCACUUCUAGACCUAGGAAACAGGCAUUCCUGGGCUACACUGUGUCGUUAGGGUAUUAUUAUGAACACACAACUGGAGUCUGUAUAGACACAAAGUAACCAGCCUUAUCUCCACCCAGCCAUCUCCUGCACAUGUUUUCAUAAUAACAGCUUCCACUGACCUAACACUCAGCCUCAGAUCACUGAAGCAUUUUACAGAUAAGACAAAAGUCAUCUCGACAUAGUUCAUGAGGGUGGAGACGAGCAGAGAGCACCACCGUCUAAUGGAAAAUUGAGUCAGUGGAGCACGGAUGGGUAAUCUAGCAAGCAGAUGGGUAAACUGAGUCUUGAAAAGAUGAAGCAACCUGCCCAAGCCCCAUCUGCUUACUCUUCGCAUCUAUGCUGUUUUUACAUCAACCUAUCUUGGACUCUGCUACGUGGGGAGAAGUACUCAGAACUUGGACCUGAUGAUGGCAGCCUCUUCUCAGAAAAGCCCUGCGUCUUCUAUGGCUUCUUCCUCCUCCAGUCAAGACGAAGCAGGGGGGUUUCUGCCUCCCAUCCCCGUGCCCUAACCUGGGGGGAGGUGGAGGGGGAGGGGGAGGGGGAAGAGGAAGGGAGACAGCUGAGGCCUGAGUGGGUUGGA